AGUGCCCUUAUGAAAGGGACCUCAGGCCUCUCUCUCAGCCCUUCUGCAGUCUGCCACCUGGAAGCAGCUUCUCACCAGAGCUCAACUGUGCUGGCUCGCUGACCUCAGAUGCCCAGCCCCUGUCCUCGGUAAGCUGCCUCGUCGGUGAUGUUCUGUGACAGCAGAGCGGAUAGACCAAGGCUAUUUUCUGGCUGGUUUUUUUCUAGAAGGCUUUGACACCAGCAGUGCCUGUUUCUGGAUGCCUGAGAGACCCAGAGGAAAGAACAGUGAUGUCUGUAGGGCUCAUCGAGGGAGAGGUGGGAUAGGGCUUCUAUAGAUGGCGCUUAAGCGGUCGGCCUAACAAAUGCGGCCCCAUUGCCUUCAGGAAAAACGCAGGACUCCCAGCUGAUGUUGUCAACUCUCCACUAAUUCAUGUAAAAGGAACCAGGGGUCUUUACAGAACAUAAAGGCUGGAGCAAGAAAUAUACAAGAGGAGCCUGGAGCAUCUCGUAGCACCAGAAAAUAGGGAAGUGCUCAACAAAUAUAAAAAACCCCACAGAAAAGACCAUAUUUUUCUUAGAGCCCUGAGGUGACUGAAGGAAGAGCACCCAGGUAGAGGCUUCCUCAGAAUGGGCUGAGAUCCGGGCCUCUUGUCUUCACACCCUUGUGCAGCCCUGUGGAUCCAACUGAACCAUUUGAAGGGAUGGCGGGUGAGUUCUGAGCCUAAGGCAUGAAAGGCAUUGCAACUCCCACCUUAUUCUCUUGGUUUUUCCUCUGAAGGAAUCCAGCCUCCAUCUUCUCUAGACAUCCUGCUGCAUACCCAGGAGAGGUCCACGUGAAGAACUGUGACCUCCUGCCAGAAGCCAGCACCAACUGGCCACCCUCUUGGAUGUAGACUCCCCAUCCCUGCCAAGCCCCAGAUGACUUGGUCCCUACCAACAUCUGACUGACUGUAAUACUGAGGAGGGCCAUGAACCGGCUUCUUAGGAGGUGCUAGUGGUAAAGACCCAUCUGCCAAUGCAGGAGACUUAAGAGACUCGAGUUCCAUCCCUGGGUCAGGAAGAUCCCCUGGAGGAGGGCAUGGCAACCCACUACAGUAUACUUGCCUGGAGAAUCCCAUGGACAGGGGAGCUGGGCAAGCUACAUUCCAUGGGGUUGCAAACAGCAAGACACUACUGAAGCAACUGAGUACUCACGCAGGAGCCAGAACCACCCUGCUAAGCUGCUCCUGGUUUCCUAUCCUGUGGAAGCCGUAAGAGAUAAUAAGAUGAUUAGUAUUGCUUUAAGCUACUAAGUUUUGGGGUGAGCUGUUUUGCAGCCUUAGAAAAUUGAAAUCAGUAUCAAUUUUGAAGACCCCAAGCUAUAAUACACUUAUUGUAUUCAAAGCUCAGCAGGUGGGGUAGGAAGAAGUCUGGCUGGAACGGAAUGAAUGUGGAGGGGAGUGUGGAGUUAGCCUGGGGCCACAAGAGGGACAACAUGUUUCUUCUGUUGGCAAAUUAUAGAGAAUUUUGAGCAAAAGACCCUGAUCUCAUUUAUAUUUUAACAGAAUCCCUCUGUGCAGCAUUUGGGAGUAGACAGCAGCAGGGGAGUGGUGGAAACAUAACAAUUAGGGGGCUACUACAGUGGGCAGUAGGGGCGGCGGAGCCUGGUGAGCUGCCGUCUAUGGAGUCGCACAGAGUCAGACACGACUGAAGCGACUUAGCAGCAGCAGCAGCACAGUGGGCAGUAGAUCCGGCAGCUUCAGGAUCUAUUUCUGAGGCAGAGCCAAGUUUUGCCCAGGUAAGUAUGACAGUGUUAGGAAUGACCCCAGAGUUUUGUAAGGAUGGACUUGCCAUUUACUGAAGGAUAAGGUUAAUUGGGGAAAAAAAUCAAAAGUUUGCUUUGUGACUUAGCCAGUUAGAUAGGAGGUGGAAAUGAUGACAGAAAAAGAGACGUCAAGGACAAGAUCUAGACUCCUGAAAGGGAA
ensembl:lncRNA